rnacentral:rRNA from 1 species
GACGAACGCUGGCGGCGUGCUUAACACAUGCAAGUCGAACGAAGAAGCCCUACUUUUGUGCGGUGCUCUAGUGGCAAACGGGUUAGUCACACGUCGGUAGCCUACCCUUUACGUUAGGAUAACUUCACAAAGCUAGAGCUACUGCCGGAUGGGAGCACCUGCUGCAUAGUGUGUGUUGGAACAUUUCGACGGUUGGGGAUGGACUGGCGGCUGAUCAGCUUGUUGGUGGGGUAGUGGCUGACCAAGGCGUUGACGGGUAGCCGGCCUGAGAGGGUGACCGGCCACACUGGGAUUGAGAUACGGCACAGACUCAUACGGGAGGCAGCAGUGGGGAAGAGUGCAUAAUGGGCGGAAGCCUGAUGUAGCAACGCCGCGUGGGGGAUGAGGGCCUUCGGGUUGUAAAGCGCUUUCGCCUGUGAUGAAGCGUGAGUGACGGUAAUGGGUAAAGAAGCCCCGGCUAACUACGUG